CUUGGUCAUUUAGAGGAAGUAAAAGUCGUAACAAGGUUUCCGUAGGUGAACCUGCGGAAGGAUCAUUACAGAAAGUAAACGCGGAUCAAACCGCGAACUUCUAAACCUUUGACGAUUGACUCAUGUUGCCUCGGCGGGUUCUCCCGCCAGAGGAUACAUCAAAACUCCUGUUUUAACGGUGUUGUCUGAGCUACAAGCAACGAAUCAAAACUUUCAACAACGGAUCUCUUGGUUCUGGCAUCGAUGAAGAACGCAGCGAAAUGCGAUAAGUAAUGUGAAUUGCAGAAUUCAGUGAAUCAUCGAAUCUUUGAACGCACAUUGCGCCCUCUGGUAUUCCGGGGGGCAUGCCUGUUCGAGCGUCAUUUCAACCCUCAAGCUCUGCUUGGUAUUGGGCGUCACCCUCUGCGGUGGGCCUUAAAAUCAGUGGCGGUGCCGUCUGGCUCUAAGCGUAGUAAUUCUUCUCGCUAUAGAGUCUAGGUGGUUACUUGCCAACAACCCCAAUUUUCUAUGGUUGACCUCGGAUCAGGCAGGGAUACCCGCUGAACUUAAGCAUAUCAAUAAGCGGAGGAAAAGAAACCAACAGGGAUUACCUCAGUAACGGCGAGUGAAGCGGUAACAGCUCAAAUUUUAAAUCUGGCUCUUUUAGUGCCCGAGUUGUAAUUUGUAGAAGAUGUUUCGAGUGUGGUUCCGGUCUAAGUUCCUUGGAACAGGACGUCAUAGAGGGUGAGAAUCCCGUAUGUGACUGGAUACCUACGCUCAUGUGAAGCUCUUUCGACGAGUCGAGUUGUUUGGGAAUGCAGCUCAAAAUGGGUGGUAUAUUUCAUCUAAAGCUAAAUAUUGGCCAGAGACCGAUAGCGCACAAGUAGAGUGAUCGAAAGAUGAAAAGCACUUUGGAAAGAGAGUUAAACAGUACGUGAAAUUGUUGAAAGGGAAGCGCUUGCAACCAGACUUGCAUGCUGUCGAUCAUCCGAUGUUUUCACCGGUGCACUCGAUUGUAUUCAGGCCAGCAUCGGUUUUGGUGGUUGAAUAAAGGCCUUAGGAAUGUAGCUUCUCUCGGGGAGUGUUAUAGCCUUCGGUGCAAUGCAGCCUACUGGGACCGAGGACCGCGCUUCGGCUAGGAUGCUGGCGUAAUGGUUGUAAGCGACCCGUCUUGAAACACGGACC
rnacentral:rRNA from 1 species